AGAGUUUGAUCCUGGCUCAGGAUGAACGCUGGCGGCGUGCUUAACACAUGCAAGUCGAACGAACCUUCGGGUUAGUGGCGGACGGGUGAGUAACGCGUGAGAAUCUGCCCUCAGGAGGGGGAUAACGGCUGGAAACGGCCGCUAAUACCCCAUAUGCCGAGAGGUGAAAUGAAUUUCGCCUGAGGAUGAGCUCGCGUCUGAUUAGCUAGUUGGUGUGGUAAAGGCUCACCAAGGCAUCGAUCAGUAGCUGGUCUGAGAGGAUGAUCAGCCACACUGGGACUGAGACACGGCCCAGACUCCUACGGGAGGCAGCAGUGGGGAAUUUUCCGCAAUGGGCGCAAGCCUGACGGAGCAACGCCGCGUGAGGGAUGAAGGCCUCUGGGCUGUAAACCUCUUUUAUCAAGGAAGAAGAUCUGACGGUACUUGAUGAAUAAGCCACGGCUAAUUCCGUGCCAGCAGCCGCGGUAAUACGGGAGUGGCAAGCGUUAUCCGGAAUUAUUGGGCGUAAAGCGUCCGCAGGCGGUCUUGAAAGUCUGUUGUUAAAGCGUGGAGCUCAACUCCAUUUCAGCAAUGGAAACUAGAAGACUAGAGUGUGGUAGGGGCAGAGGGAAUUCCCGGUGUAGCGGUGAAAUGCGUAGAUAUCGGGAAGAACACCAGUGGCGAAGGCGCUCUGCUGGGCCAUAACUGACGCUCAUGGACGAAAGCCAGGGGAGCGAAAGGGAUUAGAUACCCCUGUAGUCCUGGCCGUAAACGAUGAACACUAGGUGUCGGGGGAAUCGACCCCCUCGGUGUCGUAGCCAACGCGUUAAGUGUUCCGCCUGGGGAGUACGCACGCAAGUGUGAAACUCAAAGGAAUUGACGGGGGCCCGCACAAGCGGUGGAGUAUGUGGUUUAAUUCGAUGCAACGCGAAGAACCUUACCAGGGUUUGACAUCCUGCGAAUCCCUUGGAAACUUGGGAGUGCCUUCGGGAGCGCAGUGACAGGUGGUGCAUGGCUGUCGUCAGCUCGUGUCGUGAGAUGUUGGGUUAAGUCCCGCAACGAGCGCAACCCACGUUUUUAGUUGCCAGCAUUAAGUUGGGCACUCUAGAGAGACUGCCGGUGAUAAACCGGAGGAAGGUGUGGAUGACGUCAAGUCAUCAUGCCCCUUACAUCCUGGGCUACACACGUACUACAAUGCUACGGACAAAGGGCAGCAAACUCGCGAGAGCUAGCAAAUCCCAUAAACCGUGGCUCAGUUCAGAUCGUAGGCUGCAACUCGCCUACGUGAAGGAGGAAUCGCUAGUAAUCGCAGGUCAGCAUACUGCGGUGAAUACGUUCCCGGGCCUUGUACACACCGCCCGUCACACCAUGGAAGUUGGCCACGCCCGAAGUCGUUACUCCAACCCGCAAGGGAGGAGGAUGCCGAAGGUGGGGCUGAUGACUGGGGUGAAGUCGUAACAAGGUA
rnacentral:rRNA from 1 species